GGGGAGCACCGAAGCGCUAAAACAAGGAUAAAACGAAGUGGCUGAAGGAGAAGAUUAGCACAAGGAAUGGAUGGAUUUGUUGCAAGUGCAGUUGAAAGGACAACAGCAUGACUACUAAAAGUACACAGUCUGGCAGGUAAUACAGUCCUCCACAACUGCAGCAGCAGCUGCUGGUGACCCUGAGACGAUCUACAGUCGGUCUGGUCUAUGCCAAGGUAUCUGUUUUAAACUUGGAUCAUUCUGUGUUACAGGCAGUAAAAGAUUAAUGGUG